rnacentral:lncRNA from 1 species
AAGACAUUUGAGUGCUACUCUUGCCUCUGGCUGGUUUACUUUGGACAUCAUAAACCCUUUUUUUUUUUUCAGGAUCUAGUAUUUGGGAGUAUGCUUGAGAAAACAGAGCUUCAGGAAAAGCUGAGAAUGACCUCUCUCUGGCUGACUCACUGUGACUUUAAAGUAAUAUGUCUUUACAGAACAUGGCUUCUCUGCUGUUGGAACAGGAAGACCAAACAGCUCCCUGAAGCAGGUUACCUGCUCUGUAUCCACUGUACCAGUUCUCUAAACUGGCUGAAUAUCAGGAACACCUGGGAUGCUGUUUGUACAAUAGGUAAGCCGACACUUUUGCUGAACGAAGAUCUCCUAGAUCCCAACUGGGGGAGGAAGCCUGACUGCUUCUGAGGCAAAUCAUGGCCAUAAUCAUUUUCAAAGGUAUCAUUUUCACCUGGGAAGGGACUUGAGGAAGCAGCACCGCAGGUCAUGAAUAUUUAUGAG